UUCACUUUUAUAAAGUGCUUAACUAAGAAUUGAGCAUUGAGUGUUGAAAAUGAGUCGAGUGGCAAACGGGUGAGUAACGCGUAGACAACCUGCCGCAAAGAUGGGGACAACAGUCCGAAAGGNNCUAAUACCGAAUGUUGUCAGAUUCCCGCAUGGGAGACUGAUUAAAGAUGGCCUCUACUUGUAAGCUAUCGCUUUGUGAUGGGUCUGCGUCUGAUUAGCUAGUUGGUGGGGUAACGGCCUACCAAGGCGACGAUCAGUAGCCGGUCUGAGAGGAUGAACGGCCACNNUGNCAACUGAGACACGGUCCAGACUCNNACNNGAGGCAGCAGUGGGGAAUCUUCCGCAAUGGGCGAAAGCCUGACGGAGCAACGCCGCGUGAGUGAAGAAGGGUUUCGGCUCGUAAAGCUCUGUUGUCGGGGACGAAUGUGCAAGAUGCGAACAGUUUCUUGCAAUGACCGGUACCUGACGAGGAAGCCACGGCUAACUACGUGCCAGCAGCCGCGGUAAUACGUAGGUGGCGAGCGUUGUCCGGAAUUAUUGGGCGUAAAGGGAGCGCAGGCGGGAAGGCAAGUCAGUCUUAAAAGUGCGGGGCUCAACCCCGUGAUGGGAUUGAAACUGUCUUUCUUGAGUGCAGGAGAGGAAAGCGGAAUUCCUAGUGUAGCGGUGAAAUGCGUAGAUAUUAGGAGGAACACCAGUGGCGAAGGCGGCUUUCUGGACUGUAACUGACGCUGAGGCUCGAAAGCGUGGGGAGCGAACAGGAUUAGAUACCCCUGGUAGUCCACGCCGUAAACGAUGAAUGCUAGGUGUAGGAGGUAUCGACCCCUUCUGUGCCGGAGUUAACGCAAUAAGCAUUCCGCCUGGGGAGUACGGUCGCAAGACUGAAACUCAAAGGAAUUGACGGGGGCCCGCACAAGCGGUGGAGUAUGUGGUUUAAUUCGACGCAACGCGAAGAACCUUACCAGGGCUUGACAUUGAGUGAAAGACUUAGAGAUAAGUCCCUCUCUUCGGAGACACGAAAACAGGUGGUGCAUGGCUGUCGUCAGCUCGUGUCGUGAGAUGUUGGGUUAAGUCCCGCAACGAGCGCAACCCCUAUCAUUUGUUGCCAGCACGUCAAGGUGGGAACUCAAAUGAGACUGCCGCGGACAACGCGGAGGAAGGCGGGGAUGACGUCAAGUCAUCAUGCCCCUUAUGUCCUGGGCUACACACGUACUACAAUGGGAUGGACAGAGAGCAGCGAACCCGCGAGGGCAAGCGAACCCCAUAAACCAUCU
rnacentral:rRNA from 1 species